AUUGAACGCUGGCGGCAUGCUUUACACAUGCAAGUCGAACGGUAACAGGCCGCAAGGUGCUGACGAGUGGCGGACGGGUGAGUAAUGCAUCGGAACGUGCCCAGUCGUGGGGGAUAACUACUCGAAAGAGUAGCUAAUACCGCAUACGAUCUAUGGAUGAAAGCGGGGGACCGUAAGGCCUCGCGCGAUUGGAGCGGCCGAUGUCAGAUUAGGUAGUUGGUGGGGUAAAGGCUCACCAAGCCAACGAUCUGUAGCUGGUCUGAGAGGACGACCAGCCACACUGGGACUGAGACACGGCCCAGACUCCUACGGGAGGCAGCAGUGGGGAAUUUUGGACAAUGGGCGCAAGCCUGAUCCAGCAAUGCCGCGUGCAGGAAGAAGGCCUUCGGGUUGUAAACUGCUUUUGUACGGAACGAAACGGCUCUGGUUAAUACCCGGGGCUAAUGACGGUACCGGAAGAAUAAGCACCGGCUAACUACGUG
rnacentral:rRNA from 1 species